AUGCACCUGCCCUGAUGGUGAUUAGACUAAAAGGCUUUUCCUACAAUUUGAUUUAAACCGGGAGCUCAUGUAAGGGUUGUUAAAGAGCAUACCAUUUAAUUGGCAGCCAGAGAAACCCUUUAGAGCACCCACCUGUAGACACAGGGCCUAAAGCUUUUUAGCCUACACCUCAAGGGCGGGGCACU
rnacentral:other from 1 species